rnacentral:rRNA from 1 species
UACGUAGGGUGCAAGCGUUGUCCGGAAUUAUUGGGCGUAAAGAGCUCGUAGGCGGUCUGUCGCGUCGGCUGUGAAAACCCGGGGCUCAACCCCGGGCCUGCAGUCGAUACGGGCAGACUAGAGUGUGGUAGGGGAGACUGGAAUUCCUGGUGUAGCGGUGAAAUGCGCAGAUAUCAGGAGGAACACCGGUGGCGAAGGCGGAUCUCUGGGCCUGUCCUGACGCUCAGGCGCGAAAGCUAGGGGAGCAAACAGG